rnacentral:rRNA from 1 species
AGAGUUUGAUCAUGGCUCAGAACGAACGCUGGCGGCGUGGAUAAGACAUGCAAGUCGAACGGGAUUACUUUUGGUAGCAAUACCGAGAGUAAUUUAGUGGCGAACGGGUGCGUAACACGUGGGCAAUCUGCCUUAAAGUGGGGGAUAGCUCGGCGAAAGCCGAAUUAAUACCGCAUGUGGUCAGCUAAGACAUCUUAGCGAAACCAAAGCCGGGGCAACCUGGCGCUUUUAGAGGAGCCCGCGGCCUAUCAGCUAGUUGGUGAGGUAACGGCUCACCAAGGCUAUGACGGGUAGCUGGUCUGAGAGGACGACCAGUCACACUGGAACUGAGACACGGUCCAGACACCUACGGGUGGCAGCAGUCGAGAAUUUUUCUCAAUGGGGGAAACCCUGAAGGAGCGACGCCGCGUGGAGGAUGAAGGCUUUCGGGUUGUAAACUCCUGUCAUUUGGGAACAAGGUGCACCGGUUAACUGCCGGAGUAUUGAUAGUACCAGAAGAGGAAGAGACGGCUAACUCUGUGCCAGCAGCCGCGGUAAUACAGAGGUCUCAAGCGUUGUUCGGAUUCAUUGGGCGUAAAGGGUGCGUAGGUGGCGCGAUAAGUCGGGUGUGAAAUCUCGGAGCUUAACUCCGAAAUUGCAUUCGAUACUGCCGUGCUCGAGGACUGGAGAGGAGACUGGAAUUCAUGGUGUAGCAGUGAAAUGCGUAGAGAUCAUGAGGAAGACCAGUGGCGAAGGCGGGUCUCUGGACAGUUCCUGACACUGAGGCACGAAGGCCAGGGGAGCAAACGGGAUUAGAUACCCUAGUAGUCC